UGCGUUUCUAUCUGCCGGACGAAUAAUCAACUGGAACAUCUCCCUUAUGUCCCCAGCGAUGGCAUACUGUUUCUGUCGGAAUUGGCAGAGGACAGAUAGAAGGGGCUUCACCAAAUCCGGACCUUUCAAAAGCUGGGAGCUCAGAAAGAUUCCUCCAUACGUAGCCGCAGCAUCCCAGAAUACACGCACCUUUGUUAACUUGCUCGGAUGUCGCACUGCGCUGAUUGGCAGGUGCCAAAUCUUUCCGUCGUCACUGUUGCGGAGCUCGUCUGACGUUGCUUUGUGAACGUACCUCUUGUGUAGACAAUCGUUCAUUUGUUUGUCAAUAUUAGUUUUCAGUUCGGGAUCUUUCAGCAAGCGCUUUUCAAAACAACCGCGUCGACGUACUGCCUUGGUAAAUUUGUUCGGAAAAACCGGCUCAUCGCUUUUCCAAAGCAAUCCAGUUUGGAACUUUCCGGAUGGUAUAUGAACUGUCGUCUUUUCGAGCAAUCUUCUGGCCCGUCGAUCUUCGUCGGAUUCGGGUGGAUUCAAUCCGGAUAUCGCCAGGUUUUCGAAUUCAAGAUACUGCUGGACCGGUUCAUGGAGCUCGCGGUUAUUGGAUCUCUCGCAGACAUGAACGAAAGCACUACACACCAAAAAAUUAUGAAAAUUAGACUGGACAGAAACGCUUAAGCACCUAUUUUUCUUUUGAUCUAUUCAAGGAAAAAUCUAAUUUUACGUCUUUCCGAAUAUAAAAUACACACAUACAUGGAUGAUUUCAAAUCUCAGGAUAUAAACUGAAACUUGAAGUAAUACGAAUCGAAUUUUACAUCAUUGUUCAUCUAAAGUUCAAAUCUUGAAUUUAAAGCUGUGUGACGAAAAACAUAAAAUUAUGUCUAUCAGUGUUAAUGAGUUCAGUCAAAGCGUUUUCCAUUAUGGCGCUAGUGGUAGAUUGAUUUGUUGUUCAUAAUCGUAUGCAGUUUGUGCAGUGAUAUUGACUUACAUAUAUCUGUGUCUGAUACAAAUGCAUUACAAGAAACGAAGUUUUAACACCCGGUAAAUGUGGAUGUGGAAUUAUUCAUCUAACAACGAAAUUAAAGUAAUUUAUGGCCAAACUUUCCAAUGCACGAGUUUAUAAAGAUUUGUGAACGUUACCUUGUGUAUAAAAAUUAAUGAAAAAUAAUCUGAGUGAUCCUGAAGCAAGCCAUAUCAACUUUGGAACAAAUAGAACAAAUGUUCAAUUUCUACGGACAUGGUGACGUAGGGCAGCUCAUUCAAUGAUUAAACAAGAUAAAGCAAUGUUACUCGACGAUUGUUGUAUUGUCCAUUAAGCAAUGAGGAAAAAAUUUGCGGACUGUAAACGUUGGCCACCAUCUGCCAGAACAAUGUCGACAUCAGUGCUACGGACUAGAAUAAUUUGGAUAUAAUUUCCGCCUCAUUGCUGGUAGAUCUGAAUCAGAGCAUUCGGCAUGCCAAGAUUUGAGCCUAGCGGAAUCAUCUUUCUUCAGAGGCCAAUUUUCGAGAGGGAACAUCCAGGAUCAGACGGACCAUGCAAAAGUGAGACACUCCAUCAAGCGGCCAGCAUGUUGUAGAAACUCAGAGAUUGCUUCAGUUAGACAGCUUCAAUCAGUUGCACCUGUAGGAAAGUUUUGUCAGAUGCCUGGAUUGAAUAGUUAAUAGAAAUCAAAUCGUUCUAGCCGUUGCUGUCGCCCGAAGUUUGCUCCGCUGAUACCCCGAAACUAAGCUGGAAGUGAUUGACGAUGCCCAAAUGAAGGAUGAAUCAGGCGAACAAUCCUGCCAAAGAUGAAGACGAGCCCAUUUACAGUCGGAAUUUGAAGUAGACUCAAAGCAUCAUCGAAAACAUCCGACAAAUUCUGACGGAAAAUGAAUGUCAUUACAAUUUAUUUUAAUCGAAGCUUCCUUAUGGCCAUGACUUUCGAGGUAAGGUCACCCAACUGAUAGCUUCUGGGUGUGUGAAUCUUUUCCCGAUGCCAGCCGGCGGUGGUAGUGAAGAUGCUGCUAUUAACAGAAAACUCUAGGGGGAGGAGGUAGACUGACCCUCAUAUUACGUUAGUGUUAAUCAUGAAUAAGUUUAAACAUAUGAAAUUGUAAUGAAUUUUUUUUUAAAUCCAAGAAAUAAAAAAAGUAAUGAAAUUUGUUAUAUGUGCUAAGAUAAUUUGCAAUAGAAAUAAUAUCACCUGAAAAACUAAAUUUGAAAAUGCCUAAAACCAAUAAUUGUAAGCUAUUGAUUUCAAUAAAACAUUUUACUAAAACAAAUUUUUUUUUCGCUUUGAAAUCAUACCAAUACGACUUGAAGAAAACCCCUACCCCAUACGAAAGAGUCGGAUAUGAAUCCAUUCUAUGACGAAUGUGGGAAAAAAUAUUUAUUAUUUUGAGCAUUUCAUCAUGAUAUUAUGCAAUAAAAUUCAAGAGAUCGAUUUCAAAUUUAUUUGGUAUAUCAUAAAUAAUUCCCAAAUUUUCAUCAUCAGUUGCUGCGGCAAGCACAUCGACUGGUGCGAUCAACACAGCAACACCGACGAAACACCGAUCAAUGCUACCAGCACUGCACCACUGAUCACGGACCACACCAACACGGACUUUCACAAGCAGCAGCAGCAACUGCUUCGAUUGACACUAUGCACCACCGGAACAGCACCACCGACGCUGCACCGGUUGACUCCACUUUUACUUGCACUGCACGACUAACAUCCACAUACUCUAGGCCGGUAUAACCCAAAACCAAGUUGGAAUGCCGCAAAAUCGGAUGAAACUGGCUCCCGACGAAAAUGAGUUUGAGGGGGUUUUCCCGAAUUUGAGAAUGAACGUCAUUUUUGCAACUUAAUUUUGGGGCAUGUCAUGCGCAGGGAUUUUUUUGGGAUUUUUUCAUUUGAUGAACCAAAUAUCAAAAGGGAUUAUACAAAUUUAAUGAAGAAAACAUUUUUGUUCAUAUUUCCUUUUUUAUUUUAAAAAUAAUGUUUUCACAAUUGAUCGACCUCGGCAAAUGUUUUCGAAAAGAAAGUCAUAUAGGAAACCCGAGCCUGAUUUAUUCGGGAGCAAUUCUCAAUAGGUCUGACCUGCAGGAUGCACCCGGAGGGAAACCAGGCUCCUCACUGGAAUUGACUAUCUACGGCUGCGCUUGGUACCGUUAAGGAGCGUCACGUGUCCUCCCAAUCUGGAGACCCCCUAGCAUAUAGUACUAUCCGAAGCUCCCAUAGGCCGUGAAUGGCUAAUGCUGCGGUUGUUGCAGAUCGUCCUCCGCUUCUUUCGGUUUCCUAUUGAUUUUUCUUCCUUCCGGAAAUUCGCUGCAGGCAUGAUGUAACUUUUUUUUUGGUAGAAACGGCUCCUGAAGAAGGUAUGAUCGAUGAAUAAACGUUUUCUGGAAAUCAAUAAAUUGAAAUGAAUUAAGUAUAUGGUAUAAGAUAAAAUUUUAUCACAUUCAAAGCUUUUUACCAGAUAUUGUUUUCAAUUUGACUGAUUUUUUUUGCUUCCAAAACGGAACUAACCGAAAACAAAGGGAAAUUUUUUUGGGGUGGUCAGUUCGAGGUUCGAACUUUUAUUUUGGUGUAUUGACAGCAGCCCAAAAUCGAGAAAGCCAGCUGAACUUUGUUUUGAUGCGCUGGCGAUCUUAUUUUUGGGUUGUUUUGAUUCUGAGUGCAAGUUGUAGACCACAACAGAAGCUGAGCACAUCGAACCAGCUGUUUUUGACAGUAAACAACUGCAUGUGUGUUAGUGUAAUAGAAAUCGAUAGAAACGAAUCCUGCCUCCGAGCGUGAUCGGUUUUGACUGGUUUCGAUCGAUUUCGAUUGGCUUCAUUGAACGUCAAUUGGAUUAGUUUUGACCAAAACAUUGGCUGAGUGAACAACCAUUUACCGAUCGAAAUCGAUUGAAACCAAUUUCAAUUGGCUAUUGAACAGGCUUAUUAUUGUUGCUCCUGCCAGCAAGCUCGUUUUCAGUUUUUUAUUGCUAUUGUUGCUCUCUGCCAGCAAGUCGUUCAAUUAGUUGUACCUGCCGUCAGCAGCCGAUCGAAGUGUGAAGAGAUUUGCCAGUCACUCUCAGUAGAAAUUUUGACCAUGUGUAGGAGCUUCGCCAGUCGAUGAUGGAGAAAUGUUGAUUCUUGUCGUGCUUUGUCCGUCAUGCGAGUAGUAAGGCUCCGUCAAUUGAGAACAGUGCCAGUCGUUUGAUGAAACAAAACUAAUCGGGUCAAGCGUGACGGGCGAAAUUUACCAUCACUGCUUCUAACACACCAUUUAGAAAUCCUUUCUUUAAAUCUCUCACAAUUAAAUAACACACUACUAAAUCAAAUUAGGUAUAUUAUUUUUUGAAGUAAAAGUUGUACGUACUGAGAACUUUUAUUUUAAGUCACAGGCGUCAUAUAAAGAUAAAAGUGUCAAAUCGUUAAGCAAUUUUUGAGUAACUCUACGGCCGAUGACAUAGUGAAUGCGAUGCGAUGCAUACUGGCGAAUGCGAAUCAAUGCGACGAACAACAUUUGAUGAAAAUGUGUGAAUCGCUUAAACCUGACAUACUCAACGCGGCGAAGCAGAUGUCAAUUUGUUUUGCCAAUUCGCCUCGCAUCACUCUCACUAGGUCGUCGGCCUUAUUUGGUGAUUUUUACUUCUAUACCGCUUUUGUUUCCAAUGUCCAAUUUGAAUGUCACCUAUCUGUUGUACAGUAGAGGCUUCGUUUUUUCGAACAGUCUUCUAAUCCCAUUUAUUGCGAAAAGAGAGUGGAGAAAAUUGAAACACGGAAAAUAAUAAAAAGGUAAAAUUUACCGAGAUAGCAAGGUGAACGUUCGUGGAAGCCAAAUAGGUAACUUUUACCUUUUCGAAGUGAAACUCUAGAGUUAGUUUUGAUUACGUCGUAUGAACCAAUGUAAACAAAAUUGAGUUAUUGGCUGCAAACGAUUGAUAAACAUGUAAUCUAUCUUAGAAAAAACUUUCAUUUUAUUUGAUCAAUGCAUAAAUUCUUCAAAAUGGUUUGAAAUUAGGACGUAUGAUGACUUCCUCAUUUUCGAGUGCAAUUUGGUUUUUACGACUUUUUGCAUUGCACUAAAUUGGCGUGCAAAACAAAGGUCGCAAACAAUUUGUUCGCACGCUCGGCCAUAUUGAACCAUAAAUGCUUGAAAAAUAACCAUAAUGGCAGUUUUGUGGGUUAAGUCGUUUUAUGAGUUUUCAGUGAAAACUCAUUAAAUGAGAUUCCGAGGAGAACUUGGAUUAUGGUUAUUUUUCAAACAUGUUUGAAAUAAGUGAAAAUUGGCAGAAAUUCGUCGGAAAAAGAACUUUAUAGAUGUAAAAUGACAAGAAUCAUUUCGUGGUUGUUCUUAAAAGCUUUUAUUUCACAAUAUAUUACGAAUAUAUGAACAUCCAAAUAUACAAGAAAAAAAUUGUUCUUAACCUAACCGGCAUUUCCACUGUUGGAUGUUGGCAAUAAAGAUACUCAAACUAUUUUCACCAACUGAGAGGAAUUGUUGCGCUUUGAUUUCGUUUGUUAACCUCUUCGAACACCAUUUCCGGAUUAAGCGCUGGUGUUUCAUUCCCAAUGAGCGCGCAGCACCCGAUCCUGUAGCCCGUAGUGUUUUGUUUCUACUUGCAGCUUUAAGAAUUUGACAGAUUCGCUGGGCAAGUGGAAGUGCUCCUCUUCUCAUUACUGCAAUAAAAAGGAAAACAGGAAAUUGUUAGUGUCCGAUUCCGUAUCUCGUCCCGGUGUUUCGGCAACCUUCACUAUUGGAAUUCACUUCCCGAACAGCUAACGUUUAUACAGCUGUGGUUUGCUCCUGCAAAUCUUUUACUAUAAGCUCCUGAUCCGGAUCCUAUGAAACAGCCUGUGGUCCAGCACAACGGGAAAUUGGAAGAUGUUUCGUCCUCUUUGAAUGGAAAAAUGUACUAAUAUUCAGUCGAUUCGACACACAGCGGAAAAAAAUAAACAAGUUAAACGCGCGUCCAAAGAUGGCUACUGUUUUUUCAUUGAUUUUACGGUUGAAAUUUAACCAUUUUCGAAAUUUUUUGUCAGAACUUCCGUCAUGCUUGAAAUUGAACCAUACUUCACGGUUAAAAAACAACAAUUAUCGCAGUUCUUUUGAAAAUCUCAAAAAAUGGUUCAAGAAAAACCAUUAAUGGUUGAAAAAAUAUGAGCGUGCGGUUCGUUGGUUUUUGCGACCUUAUGCAUUUUCUCAGAUAAUGCAGCGGUGAGUGAUGUUAAAUUAAAAAUUUCAAAAGAAAUUGUUUGUGAGAGUUGUUCCAGUUAGUAUGAUUAUACAAACUUCUUCUUUUUAUUGUGAGGUAAGUUCAAAGCGUAUCUUUUAUGACUGGACUGAUUUUCAGUUUCAUCAUUUUUCCACCACAGAUGCUGCUAACAAAACUAAAAGCGUUUCGUAGAAACCGGAGAUUCCAAAGAGAGCAUAUCACCCGCGAGGUCCUAGACAAAGCUCCAGGGAUUCAAACGUAAGUCAUUUUUUCUUGUUCUAUACUAUAUGCUGAUUGGCACAUGACGAAUUCCUUCAAAACCCAUUCCGGUAAUAACCAAUAUUCAGAUGAGCCAUACAUAAUGUUAAAACUUGAGUGCUUGAAGCUAAAUAGUUAGUGACAGAAAUGUUUAAGACACAUGUUAUUUAGUUUAGAGAUAAAAUUUAACAGCAUGCAAAACGACGUUAGAGCCAAUCAUGCAAUGCCAAAAGUCGUAAGUACAUGUUCACUAGAACAACUAAAUGUAUGCCUGAAUAAAAUACACUAGCCUAAUUCUUAUCUAUUUUCUUAUCACAUGCCGAUUUCUAAAGACAAUUCCGAGCAAUAUUUUAAAUAGUAGAUUUAAAAAGAGGUUAGGAAACUUCAACAGUGAUUUUCUCGAAACACGUCAGGUGGCUCAUACGACUUAAUCAAAAAAAACUCUAGAACUCACCUCACAGCGAGGUAAAGUUUACCUGAAUCGAGAUGAAAAAAGGUACAAUUUACCUUGCAAAAAGGUAAAUCGAAAAAACGUAAAGCUUACCUCGUAGCGAGGUGAAGUCUACCUAAAUUGAGCUGACCAAAGAGGUACAGUAUUAUUCACAUAGAAAAAAAAGUUACUGAUGUUUGUCGGAAACGCUAAAUGAGAUUAAGAAAUAUUUUCAUUUGGAAACAAGUUUUGCAUUGGUGCGCAACUAUAACCGGGACUGGGAACAGAAUAUACUAAUUAACAAUUAACGGUAAAAACUAUACUUUUUAAUUUAUUACUAUAGGUAUUUGAUCAAUAAAUACAUUUAUUAAUAUUUCCAAGUGCCCCUAGCUGUUAGCACUUUAGCGAUGCAUCACAAUGUUCCAUCGGGGAUUUGGAUCAUCUCUGGAAUAUUCAAUUCCCGCGGCCAGAACAUUAUGAUUUCCUCCUGUGUGUAGUUUUUUUUAAGCCGAAUAGUUGGAGUGUAUUCGGAUUGCGAAUUUGUUUACCAACAUCCGGAGAAGAAAAGGGAAAAAAACGGUGUUCACCUGGUCAGAGGCCGAAGCUACUUUUGUUAUGCUUGGGUUGCUUCGUUCGAAAGACGGCGGCAGGUAAGCUAUCCAUUAUUCGUUGAUUAAUAUUUUUACCGUCACGGGCUCGCAAGGCCCGCAGCUAACUCAAUUUUCAUGCAAGGACCAUCGUGACGUCGCUCUUUUGAUUCCCGAACAUCACCAAGACGUUGUUGCACGCCGCCACUGACAUGGAGAAAAGACGCGUGUGGAGCCCCCAAUCACAGUUUGUAUGCGACCAAAACAUCCACCGGGAUUGGGUAUCCGAUAUACUCGCACCCCAGCCGGCACAACGGGGAGGUUGAGAAUUGGAGUUGUAUUAAGACAAGAGGUGAUAUGAACACUACCCGAAGGUUGGGUGUAUGGUGUUCAGAGUGACCUAUCAUUCGCCAGCCAGGUAAGCAUAUUCAAUGAGUUUAAAUUCCGUUCCAAUGUUUCCGUUUUGAAAAUUGGACCAGAACAAGGGUUUGGAUUCGGCAGAAAUAUGGCCAACGACGAUGCAUUUUCACUAAUCUCAACAUGUGUCAUUUUUAGGCCGUCGCAGGAAAACUGGAAAACUGCUUUCUGAUCUAUUCUGUCUGACAUAGCAUUCGGAACGGACAAAAAAUUGUACGAAAGAAUUUGGAGCUUUGGAAAAACAGUUUUAAAUAUCUCGAAUGUUGUUGGUCCAAAAGAUUCGAUUCACGUGGUUCAUUUCCGACAAAAGUGAAGCUAGUCAUCCAACGUGCCGAAUAAGGAAAAAGCAUUAUAUUUGCCGAUGUUGCUCAUCCGGAUCAAACGAGCUUUUAAAUGAUAUGGCCGUUUCGUUCUUGCUUUGAUGAAGUAGUAUGAAAAAUCAUGGAUCAUUAAAAAAAUUAAGGGAAUUAGGAACACGGAGACUCUGGCGAUAGGAUGUUCGUUUGAAGCCGCCCGGUUGAAGCUAAGAUUUAUCUACUGCAACAAAAUUUAAAUUUCUGCAAGCAGUAGUGCAUCGGCAGCAAAAAGAAUGAGACGAAAUAAUUGUAAAAAGAAAUUGAAUCAGGAUAAGGAACCGAAAAAUAGAAUGGCUUCCUCGAGUCAUGUAGUGAAUUUGGCUCUGACUUGGUAAGCGAUUUCGUUGGAUAGUUUUAACCAACAAAAACCCUCACAGACAAUUUAAACUCAAGGCCCGAUUUUAAACGGAUUAUCGUAGCUACCGAAACGUGAAGUGGUGAUGCACCUUCCGGAGAUGACAUACGAGAAUUGAUGCAUCCAUGGUUGACUUGGCGGUUCUAAGUUGAGAGUAAUUCUCGAAGGCUCCAUCGAAAGCCAUUCGUUUUUUCCAAAAGAUAAAGAAUUAACUUUUUAAUACUAAGCGUUUAAAACCUCAAGUUCCAUUGAAUUUGACCCAUCGACGAAGUUAGAUGAAUAACGAGUGCGAUAGUACUGACUGAAUCAAAUUCGAUUUUUCGAUUCGAAUCGAUAUUUAACAGUGGUGGAAGUCGUCUGUUUCCUAAUUUACAUAAAUGUAGGUUCAAAGCUAGCCUUAUUUAGAAUAAUUGAAUGAUUUUUAUAUUUUGUAUGAUAUGAAAUAGUAAGGCAAUGCACUUUAACAGUAGAGUUAAGUUUGAAAAAAAAAAAAUUCCUGUGAAAUGACAAACACAACCUAACACACCAAUACCUAACGUGUGUAUUGAGUCGAUGAAUGGUUAACAAUAGUUAUCUUUACACAAAAGCGUAGAAAAGGGUUUGAUAUCCCGAAUUUGUACUAAAAAAACAGAUUUAUGAAGCCAAACUUGUUAUAUAUUAAAACAGAUUCUACUACAGUUUAAAAUGUAAUAAACAAAAUUUAAUAAUAAUUUAGGCGAAAGUUUAUGAUAGUUUUAAACACGAUUAUUUGACGUGUCACUUACUAAAAAUCAAUGUUUUGUUAUCUCAAGUGUUUUUAUUUAUGAUUUGAUAUUAUUUAUUAAUAGAACAAGCAAACAUGAAAUAUGUACCUUUUUCCUUGGUGAAAUGAAAAAAGGUAAAAUUUCCACCUAGCAAAUGCGAAAAAGGUAUAAUUUAGGGUAUCAUUUAAAAAAAAAAAUAAGAAUUGAGUAUCAAAGAAAAACUGUUUUGACAUAGGUCAGCAAAUUCUUAAAAAACUUUCAUAGUAUUUAAAUUUCUGUCGAUUUUAUUUUUAAGCAAGUAUUAUAAACCAUGACGUUAACAAUCCUUAUAACAAGCCACUAAAGUAAGAAUGUUUUCAGACAGCAAAAAUAGUAAUUAUAAACUCUUAGAGAAUUCAAGAAUAAAAAAGCUUUCGCCUAAAUUCGGAGAUAAGUGUCAAAAUUAUGUUUGCCAAUCGAUUUUUCUUUCUUAACCUACAUCUAGUGCAAAACUCUGAUUUUUUUUUAAAUUUUAACACUUGAUUGAAUAAAAACUGCUAGAAUUUAAAAUUAUAUGUACAUAUGGAAAAUAGAGCCCCUUGACAACUUGGAAGCACAUUUUCUGGAAACUAACAUUAAGGCACUUAUCUCCCUCUGAUUCUGAGGGCCUCGAUUGGAAUACAUAUUUACACUAGAACAAAACCAGGAUUUAAUUCAUUAAAUCAUGAAGAAAUUAUACAACAUGUAUUAAAGUAAUAAUUAUUGUAAACAUUGUUAUAUAUUUAAAAUGCUUACAGAGAGACUCAAACAUUAAAAUUGUGUAACAGUAUCAUAGAUUAAGAACUGUGAAGGUACAUAUAUGACCAAUAAAAAUUUGUGCAACUACUAA